AUACCAAAAUUUUAAUUUUAAAUAAUUUUGACAUAGCCUGUGGAUAAAGCAUCUCAGAUGGUUUUUUAUUCUUUUCUCUUAAUGAGAUUUUGAAUUAUACGCCCAUCUCACAUUU
rnacentral:snoRNA from 16 species